CGGCAGUCAGCAGUCGGCACUUGAAGAGCCUCCGACAAACACUCGAAUACGCAAAUUUAAAUAAAAUCAUCAAGAAUCGGAAAUUUGAAUUUCCGAAAAGAGGCACUCAGCUGACAUUGAAUUGGGCCCGAGGCAGCUCGACUGCACGUUACCCCUCUAUAUUUAGGAAAGAAAACGCUCUUUAAAAACCUUGAGAUGCAUAAAGCCCAUUUAUCAGCUCUACUUUUUGGAGCAUAAAAAGUGAAAUUCCAAAAUUGUAUGCAUUUAAUCUAGCUGUUGGCAGCUGAACCUGCUCUUGCCUUGCCUAAAAAUAGUAAUAAUAGUGCCUGCGCAUUGCCUGUAAGCAAUUUCGCCAGGAAGUAGGCUAACAAAAUUUAUGUCAACUGACUGCGCACAACUUUUGUUAGCCGCAACGCCGCCCCCGCCCUUUCUGCACACAAAUGGAGGGAUGACCAAGUAACCAGUGUGGCCCCCUGGAUCCCACUGAAAAAGCCUGAGAAAAACUCAAAUGUAUGCGAGGGAAGGCGAGCGAAUAAAAA